CCUUCUGCGAGAUGGUGGACUCACAGAAGGCGGUUUCGAAUAAGUUGUGGUUUUAAUGGGGUUGGCAACUGUCAAAGUGGCGCUGGUGUGCAUUGUUCCCAUAACAUUCAAUAUUUGUAUUGGAAUUUUUGAUUAAAAAUUAUUUUAAGCACAAUAACGCGUUGUUUUGUGCCAAUAUGCUCAGAAAUUGGAGAACAUCAAUUCCCGAAGGACAAGAAAAUUGGAAGACUGUGGUUAAAGGCCAUUUGACGUGAAAAAGUACUCCCACAAAAAGUUCGAGGUUAUGUCGUAAACACUUUGUGGAAUCUGACUAUGAAAACAUUAGUAAAUACACAGGUGUCAAACAUUAUCAUUAAUAUCUGAAGAAAGGUGCUGUACCAUCUAUAUUUUCAUGGAAUAUGAAACCAGUUUCUGAAGAAACAAAAAGUAGAGAACAAAAGUUACAAACUCGUAAACUUAAAAAACAGCUUUUUAGCCUGCCCAACACUUCCCAAUUCUGUGAAGAUAUAGUACCCCUUGAAGAACACAGCAAUGUGCAUUUUGAUUCAAAUGUCUCUCAAGAAAUUCUAAUAGAAAAUAAUAACUCUAGUAUAGAUGAAACAAUUACAAGGCAUCAUACUACUAUUGGAACUCAAACAUCCAAUAUAUUAAGAUUGUUCUCUACAGAGCUAUUACUUGCAGACUAUGAGACAGUGCAAUACUGCACCGGGUUGGAAACAGCAUCUAAGUUUUCAUUAGUUUUAAUCACACUUUUGCCAAUGUCAAAUGACAUAAGGUAUCGCUGGAGUAGAGUGGUCGGCAUAUCAAUAGAAGAUCAAUUUUUAAUGUUACUAAUUAAGCUUAGAAGAAACACAACAGAUUUUGAAUGAAGUAAAAUUUUCGGUGUAAGUAAAACUGAAGUGUCUAAUUUUGUUGUAACAUGGAUUAAUUUUGUCAGUGAUAUCUAGAGCCUAAUUGACAUUGGGCCUAGCCGCAGCUUAGUAAAUUAUUAUAUGCCUAAUUGUUUUAGAACACAUUAUCCCUCCACAAGGGUGAUUAUAGAUGGGACUGAAAUAGGCAUACAGAAGCCUAGUCAACCUGAUGCUCAAAAAGCGUCAUUUAGUUCUUAUAAACAUAAAAAUACCUUGAAAAUUUUGGUAGGAGCUUCACCAGGGGGAUUAUUAUCAUAUGUUUCAAACGGCUACGCUGGUUCUGCAAGUGAUCGACAGAUAGUAGAACGAAGUAAGCUGCUGCAGAUUUGUGAUUCUGGAGAUAGUAUUAUGGCAGACAGAGGUUUUAAUGUACAGGAUCUGUUUGCCUCGAAAGGAAUUAGUAUAAACCCAUCUUUUUUAAAAGGUAAAUCACAAAUCCCAGGUGUUCAGUUAAAGAUAGAUCAAAAAUUAGCUAGUCAGAGGGUUCACAUAGAACGAUUAAUUUCAUAUGUGUAAUGUUAUGUAAUUUUAGAAAAGGAAUUGUCAAUAAAAAUAAUUAAAAAUA